ensembl:lincRNA
CUUGUACCAUGGAAGUAUGCAUAUAGCUGGAUGUAAGGAUGGUUGGGGAACGGGAAAUUGGCCAUUGUCUAAAAAGGUAACCAGUUUGAGGGAUGAAAGGAUUUGCCUGAUGGGUAGGUAGCAAGGCAGAAUGUAAAGGGCAGGAAAUGUCUGUGGAAAGACCCAGAAGCUUCAGAAGAGUCAAGGAGUUAUAUGUGGUCAGUACUUUUGAAAAAGCAGUCUGGUCGGGAGCUUUCGGUGCUGUGUUGAGAUUUUGUACUGCAGGUGUUUGGCAGAUAGGGAUUGUAAGCAGGCAAGUUACAUUGGGCUUGUAGGGUUUGGAGUUGUCCAUGGUAGCAAGCAGAGUGAUGAAUGGGGGAGCAUGGUCAGGUGUCAAAAUUAAGAGUGUUGAGCCAAGGGGAGACAGGAAGGAGUAAGUGGAAGUGCUGGAGUUUAUCAGGAUAUAUAGGCAGUGGUUUUCUGUUCAUGGUGAGUGUACUCUAUUCUGUUCUUGUCAGCAAAUUCAGCAGAUGAGGAAACUUUCUAAUUGAAAUGCUCACAGGGAGAGAAUAGGCCAGAGCAGUCACUGGGUAUGUCAUCCCUUCCUCCUCUCCGUCAGAACACCCCCAUCUUUCCUCCUGCCAGUCCUCUUUCUUUUUUCCUGUGGGUCCUGUUGAUUGUAUUGUUUCUUCCACGGCUGCAUGUCAACAACAUUGAUGAUCAGCAGAACAUCAGUUCCUUACGCGCUGCACCAGGAGGAGAAUAUUUUAUAAUUAAAAAUUUUUGAAAAGUGCUGGAGUUAUCCAGGAAAAAUUCCACACCUGUCUCACUACUGCAUGAAGUGUUGAAAGUUUUUAAAGAACGCAGUUGUAUGUGUUGGUGAUAGAAAGAAGAUGGAAGUUUUCCAGGAACUUCGGAAACCAUCUGUACGUUUGGAGUGUGACCACUGCAGUUUCAGAGGCACCGAUUAUGAAAAUGUGCAGAUCCACAUGGGCACCAUCCACCCAGAAUUCUGUGAUGAAAUGGAUGCUGGGGGUUUAGACACAGGGGGACCACCUUCAGCCUCAUCUCCUGAGUCACCGGUUCUGGCUGCUUCCCCUGAGUCUUGGGGGCUGUCCCCAACUGCAUCUCCAGAAUCUCGGAAGCCCACCCGCACUGCCUCUCCAGAGCCAAAGAAGCCAUCCCCGUCAGAGUCUCCUGAACCUUGGAAGCCAUUUCCUGCUGUCUCCCCAGAGCCCCGGAGACCAGCCCCAGCUGUGUCGCCAGGUUCCUGGAAGCCAGGGCCACCUGGAUCCCCGAGGCCUUGGAAAUCCAGUCCUUCAGCAUCUUCAGGACCUUGGAAGCCAACUAAACCUGCUCCAUCUGUGUCUCCUGGACCCUGGAAACCAAUUCCUUCUAUAUCACCUGGACCUUGGAAACCAGCUCCAUCUGUGUCCCCUGCAUCCUGGAAGUCGUCUUCAGUCUCAUCUGGCUCCUGGAAAACUCCCCCUACAUCUCCAGAGUCGUGGAAGUCUGGACCACCAGAGCUCCGAAAGUCAUCCCCUGCCUUGUCACCUGAGCACUGGAAAGCAGUUCCCCCAGUGUCUCCUGAACUUCGCAGACCAGGCCCGCCACUCUCCCCAGAGAUUCGUAGCCCAGCAGGCUCUCCAGAGCUCAGGAAACCCUCAGGGUCACCAGACCUUUGGAAGCUUUCUUCUGACCAGCGGAAAACUUCUCCUGCUUCAUUUGAUUUUUCUGAGUCUCAAAAAAGUUCCCGUGGUGGUUCUCCUGAUCUCUGGAAGUCUUCCUUUGUCAUGGAACCUCAGAAACCUGCUGUCUUCCCUGAAACCCGGAAGCCAGGUCCUUCUGGGUCAUCUGAGUCCCCAAGAAUGGCUUCGGAUAUCUGGAAGCCUGUCCUUUCUAUUGAUGCUGAGUCUCGAAAGUCUGCACUAUUUCCUGAGCCCUCCAGAGCAGCCCCUCCUGCUUCUCCUGAGCCACGGAAACGUGUUCUUUUCCCAGAGUCCCGGAAGCAUGCCUUGUUCCCUGAACUGCCCAAGUCUGCUUUGUUCUCAGAGGCUCAGAAAGCAGCAGGGCUUGGUGAUGAGCUACAGAUAGAUGCUGCAGAGGACCAAAAAUGUGAUCUUUUGGUUCAGGAAGAGCUUCUGGCCACUCCCAAGAAACUCUUGGAAGAUGCCCUAUUUCCUUCCUCCAAGAAGCUCAAGAAGGAUAGCCAGGAGAGCUCAGAUGCUGAGCUGAGCAGCAGUGAGUACCUCAGAACAGACCUGGAUGCCAUAGACAUGAAGGGCCAGGAGUCUAGCAGUGAUCAAGAGCAGGUGGAUGUGGAAUCUAUUGAUUUUGGCAAAGAGAACAAAAUGGACAUGACAAGUCCAGAGCAAUCCCGAAAUGUGCUACAGUUCACUGAAGAAAAAGAAGCAUUUAUCUCAGAAGAGGAGAUUGCAAAAUACAUGAAGCGUGGGAAGGGGAAAUAUUAUUGCAAGAUCUGUUGCUGUCGUGCUAUGAAGAAAGGUGCUGUUUUGCAUCAUUUGGUUAAUAAGCACAAUGUCCACAGUCCUUAUAAGUGCACAAUUUGUGGAAAGGCCUUUCUUCUGGAAUCUCUCCUUAAGAAUCAUGUAGCAGCUCAUGGGCAAAGUUUACUUAAAUGUCCACGUUGUAAUUUUGAAUCCAAUUUCCCGAGAGGCUUUAAGAAACACCUAACUCAUUGUCAAAGCAGGCAUAAUGAAGAGGCAAAUAAAAAGCUGAUGGAAGCUCUUGAGUCCUCCUUGGAGGAGCCACAGAUUUGAUUUUUGAGCACAGUGUGAACACUUGCUGUACAAUGCUGUCUGUGGAGACUGCAGCUUGUUACGUGGCCUGGUUGGGCCAGUAGAUGGUAAUGUGCAGCGUGUACCGUGUGUGAUUGUUUCACUAGUGUUGAAAGGAUAAGUACUUUUUUCUGCUGUUAUGUGGCUGUCUUGUAAAUCAACAAAUUUCUACUGUAUAUUUCAGAUAGUUAAAACUUCUCAUUUCUUUUAAAUAUAUUUAAAUAGUAACACAGAGAAGUAGGCAUUCUGUAUAGUAAAUGAGCAAGUUCUGAACCCCUGUUAAAAUAUGUCUGCGUGUGUGUAAAACCCAGUUUCAGACAAUAGAGGUUAUUAGGUACAGGGCUCGGGAGCAAUUCAGUGGUAGAGCACUUGCUUAGCAUGUGCCAGGCCCUGGGUUCAGUCCCCAGCACCACAUGAAAAAUUAUUAGGUGGAAUGUUCAAGAAUAGGCAUGAAAAGUAAACUUAAGAAAAAUUUUGUUUCCCUGAUGUAUUUUAAAAUCCUAAGAGUUAUUUUCUAUUUGAUCAUGUAAAAUUAUUUUAUAAAUCUUGAACAGUUUUUAGAUGAUCAUAAACUUUUAUGUCAUGGAAAGCUGAGUCUCAGGGUUGCUGAUUUUCUGCUGACAGGGAAAGUCAAGGAAGUCUUUGAAGUAAUCUGCAGCCUUCUGCAGGGGCUGUGAGGAAGGCCUGGGGGGCUCUUCUCGUCCUCAGUCAAGUACAUCUGAGUCUUCCAUCUGCUGUCCUGCCCUCACUUUCCUGUCGGCCCACACUAACAAAUUAAUGGAUGAUCUCAGAUGAGCUUUUUUCCCCCCUCUUCUCUUCUGGGGUGCUGGUGAUGAAACCCAGGACCUCUUGCUAGGCCAGAGCUCUUUCUGCCACUGAGCCACACCCCAGCCCACAGCAGAUCCUUAACUGCCAAAUGUGUUAGUGUUCUGUACCUCGUACUGCUGGGCUUCGCUCCCCCUGUUGGGUUUAAGACCAGAGUAGUGGGUAGGAGUUGAAAGUCUUCCAGAUUCAUAGUAAGAGCUUUUGUAAAUGUUAAAGAAAUAUAUCGGUUUGAUUUUCACAGUUAUGUUACUGUAAAUACCUUGUACCUGUUCAGGAUUAUUUUAUUCUAAGAUAUUUCGUCAAAUGUGUAUUAACCAAAUUAAAAAGACUUUCAUGUCAGCAGUGUCUUCUGUUUUCCUUGCUGUAACUCACGAUAUCCAGGUCCCUUCCCCCCACCUUCACUUGUUUUCAACAUAGCAGUGAGCAGCACUUUCUAAGCCAUGUGUUCUGUGGGUCCUGUGACCAGCACGUUAGGAACAGUGGGAGCUCCAUGGGGGGGAGCCUCUUCUCUGUGUUGAGCGUAUAACAGGCUGUGUGAUCCUGGGCUUUCCUGUCUCCCCUGCCCUGUGCAGCCUCGUGAAGCAUGUGGUGUUGGAGGCUCCGGAGCACGGCCAGCAAUGUGGCACUGGGCUCACUUGGCUAACUGCCCUCAGCCUGAACCCUAUUUGGGGAAGCUGCUGUUAGCUCCAGCUCUUCACCUCCUGUCAUUUCUUCACAGCUUAACAACUCAUGGGCCUGGACUUGGUAGUGUGCCUCCUGUGUGGCAGCAUCUUCAUCAGUGUGGCCCACUCCGAGCCUUUCCAUUCUCAUCCUGGUAAUGAACUCAGUCCAUUGUGUGUUCAGUGACUGGUUAUUAAUUCUGCUGUACCUGAUCUUGGCUAUAGCAGAUACCGCUCUUGUUUUUAAUAUUGAUGUAGUACAUUCUGUGACUUUGUUUUGAAUGAAGACCUGGAGGAGUUUAUCAAAUAGAUCUUACUUUUUUAGUUGAAUUGCAGCCCCAGACCUCAAAAUCCCCAAAUUGUACCCUUCCUAAUCUGGCGAUGACUGUUGAGGUGUAAUUGUGAUCACAUGGUGCAUUAGUUGCCUGCUGCUGUCACAAUACCUAGGAUGUGGCUCAGGCCCACAGGUGCUGACACUGGUGGUUCCCUGACUGUCCCCAUGUGGUGGCAUGGCCCCUUCUGGAAGCUUGAGGAGAACCCACUCCUGUGCCCUCAGCUGCUGGAGCCCCUGCUUUCCUUGGCUCAGUUCCCUUCCCACCUCUGCGAAGCCAGCAGUCUGCUGCUGGCUUUGACUGCUCUGUUGUUAGCCCUUCUCCAGCGGCUGCCUCCCCUUGCUCUGAAGGGUACUGUGGUCACUUGGACCUGCUCAGGUGGCUUGGGAGCACCUUCCUGCAUUGGAAUGAGCAGCCUUAACCCUCCUUGUGGUGUCAACUGCUGUGGUCCUAGGUUUUAGGAAUGAGGACCUGGAUAUCUUUGGGGGCUGUUCUGCCUACCACAUCUGGGUUUUGAAGAUGGGAUUCUGACUCCUUGCCUAGCCUUCUCCACGCUAGGUUCCUUGAUGACACAUCUGUUCCACUGUCUGGAUCUAGGUCUUCCACUGCCCAGAUGUUACAGUCAUCAGGCUUACGUGUGCCUCUGCAGUUAACCCAGCCCCAUACCCAUGACCACCAGGUAAGAUUCCCCAAGUCCAAAGAAGUGACCUCUUAAGGUCCGGUUAUUGUCAUUGGCAAACUCCAUCUAGCAACCUUCCCACCUUGGACACCUGGCUGGCUUGUUUAUGUUGGGUGUGACUUCUCUGGGAACACAGUGGACAGUCAUGUCCAGAGUCACCCCCAUGUGGCUUCAAAAGCCUCAUCCCCACCUUGGGGUUGUGUGGGUAGGACAGAGUCUGUUAGUUAACUGGUGUGAGUGGUUAAUAUGACCUCAGUGUAAGACAGACUGAUAGUUAUAGAACAGCUAUGUGCUUAUAAAGGCACAUGUUACAUAUAAGAAUUAAAAAUAAAU